rfam:Gavia stellata contig106105, whole genome shotgun sequence.
CACAGGGUUUUACUCAAAACCACAAAACGUUCACAUAAAACAUACUU